UACAGGGGGUGCAAACGUUGCUCGGAAUUAUUGGGCGUAAAGCGCGCGUAGGCGGCCACUUAAGUCGGAUGUGAAAGCCCCUGGCUCAACUGGGGAAGUGCACCCGAAACUGAAUGGCUUGAGUGCGAAAGAGGGUCGCGGAAUUCCCGGUGUAGAGGUGAAAUUCGUAGAUAUCGGGAGGAACACCGGUGGCGAAGGCGGCG
rnacentral:rRNA from 1 species